GCUGACACAUCCCGGCCAAUCUCCGGCAGACCCUCCCUCCCAGACCCUCCUACUUCCUGGACAGCAUCCAUGUUGAAGGCAGCUUCAACAUGGAUGCUGUCCAGGAGGUGGGAGGGUCUGGGAGGGAGGGUCUGCCGGAGAUUGGCCGGGAUGUGUCGG